rnacentral:rRNA from 1 species
GGACGAACGCUGGCGGCGUGCUUAACACAUGCAAGUCGAACGGAAAGGCCUCUUUCGGGGGGUACUCGAGUGGCGAACGGGUGAGUAACACGUGAGUAACCUGCCCUUGACUUUGGGAUAACUUCAGGAAACUGGGGCUAAUACCGGAUAGGAGCUCCUGCUGCAUGGUGGGGGUUGGAAAGUUUCGGCGGUUGGGGAUGGACUCGCGGCUUAUCAGCUUGUUGGUGGGGUAGUGGCUUACCAAGGCUUUGACGGGUAGCCGGCCUGAGAGGGUGACCGGCCACAUUGGGACUGAGAUACGGCCCAGACUCCUACGGGAGGCAGCAGUGGGGAAUAUUGCACAAUGGGUGGAAGCCUGAUGCAGCAACGCCGUGUGCGGGAUGACGGCCUUCGGGUUGUAAACCGCUUUCGCUCAUGACGAAGCUUUGUGUGACGGAAGUGGGUAAAGAAGCACCGGCUAACUACGUG